rnacentral:misc_RNA from 1 species
GAUGAAGAACGCAGCGAAAUGCGAUAAGUAAUGUGAAUUGCAGAAUUCCGUGAAUCAUCGAAUCUUUGAACGCACAUUGCGCCCUCUGGUAUUCCGGAGGGCAUGCCUGUCCGAGCGUCAUUGCUGCCCUCAAGCACGGCUUGUGUGUUGGGCCCCGCCCCCCGAUCCCGGGGGGCGGGCCCGAAAGGCAGCGGCGGCACCGCGUCCGGUCCUCGAGCGUAUGGGGCUUUGUCACCCGCUCUGUAGGCCCGGCCGGCGCCUGCCGAUCAACCAAACUUUUUUCCAGGUUGACCUCGGAUCAGGUAGGGAUACCCGCUGAACUUAAGCAUAUCAAUAAGCGGAGGA